GGAAAAGCUUCAAAAAUCACCAAAGUCUUUAAAAACCUCUAAAAAGGCUACCACACCGCAUUCUAUGAGUUGCUCCUCGAAGUCAAGUCGCAACUGUAUUAACGGUGUUAAGAAAAAGGAAACAAACUUGCAAGACGUUUCCGUCUUGCAAAGCAAGCCCAUAGGGAAAAUCGUCUUGCGAAGCAGCUCAAAAAACGAAAAACCCUUUUGUCUAGCGAGUUUUUCGUCUUGCGAGGCAUUCGUCUUGCGGGGCACCACUGUACUUCAUAUAAUGAUGGAAGAAAAUCUAGUAAUGGAAGAGUUCAGGUCCUGGCUAUCUGGAGUCUGCUCAGAGUCCAUUUCAGAUUGGAACGAAACUAUUACUGGGUCUUGGUCGAUUUGAAAGGGAUCAAUUUCACAGACAUGCAUACAAUCUUUUUUUCUGCUUCCCCUUUAAUUUCCCAAAAGUUGAUUUACUAUUUUGUCAUUUUCAUUUUUAAUUGUUUUCCCCCCCAUUUCUCUCCCCUCCUUUUAAAAUUGUAUAUAUAACCUAAGCAGCUGAUGAAGAUAAGAUGGACCAAAUUGUGUAUCCCUGUAUGUUUCUUCUGCAAGUGGAAAAAGAAGCUAAGUGUGAAAGGACCCCAUGGAUCCCUAGUAGUUACUGUCUGGAGUACAGUGUUGCUGACCAUGCUUUUGCCAGCCUCCAGGGCCUGAAGCUAAACCGCUAUCCGUGCCACAGAUUCCUGGAGCUGUCUCCACUGCCAUAAGUUUGGAAAAUGUGAAGGGAUGGCUUUUUAUUUGGAAAAUGGAAGGGAAUACUCUUCAGCAGAAAGAAGGGUAUAUAAGCCCUUUUACUCUCAUGGUGAUAUUGGAAGUCCAAUGGAGCUUACAGUCUUUUUUGCCAAUUCUUCUUUUAAAUUCACUUAAAAGAAAAAUAAUAAUCAAUUAAAUGCAAUUUAAGAAAAAAUAAUUAAUUAAAUGCAAUUGCAGAUUGGAUUGUGUGUACACAUGAAUAUGUGCAGGAGUCCAGCCACCACUGCCUGUUUGUCAUGACAGGAGCUUUUCACAGUGGAUAAAAAAGAGAACAGCAAAGAUCACAAGGAAGCAUACAUAUAAUUGCACUGUGUCUAAAGCACAUUUUCAGAUUUUAAAAUAUGUCUCUAUUAAUAAUGUUUUACAUUUAUUAAGAGUGAAGAUAUAUGAUGGUAGCUUAGAAUUAGUGAUUGGAAUGCAGUUGAAUUUGUAAAGCUGUAUCAGGGUGUGAGUGUAAUUAAGAGAGACAGAGAGUUUGUUUCAAUGGAGUUCUGUAGAUUUUCUGUUCCAUUCUGAAGGUUUCUAUUUGGAAGAAUCCAAAAACUUCAGAAAUGGUUUAUAGAAAAGCAAUGCUGAAGAAUAAAAAUCUUUAUAAAUCAUGUAUAUUGUCUCUUUUUAGUCAUAUGUAUUCUCGAUCUUGAUCCAUGCUGGUUUAAAACUGAAUCAACUAAGUCCAUAAAUAUUCUCCAUAUGGGGUCAUUGUAAAGAAUGACUAAUCAGUUAUGAAAAAAUAAGCUAGACUCUUUUUUUCUAAUCUGUUUUCUACAGUUGCAUAGAAGAAGGGGUGGAGACUGGCAUUUGCAGUUUCAAACUGAUCAAAGCAAACAUUAUUAUUCUUUCAGUUCUGAAUUUGCCAAAUGUUCCAUGAAGCCUUGAGGCAAUUAAGUGGAAUAACAAGGUCUAACUGAAUCUGAAAUUAUUCUUCCACAAAUUGCUACAGGUUUUCUUCAGACUAAUUAGUGUGAUAGUUCAAGGCAUUCACAGGCAGAUAUUGAACAACGUAUGUCAUUUAUUAGGCUUCAUAAUAUUUAUUUAACUUUUUAACCUGCCCAAUUCUGGAACUCAGAAUUGGGUUAUACACACAUACACACACACACACACACACACACACACACACACCCCAACCAAAGCUUAAUCUCAGUCACCAAAAGCAAACUCAAAUAAAUUAUUGCUUCUGGAAAAUUUUGGAGCACAGGCCAUGGCAUUGUUUUCAGAACUGACUCCCUUGUAUACUCAUGAAAAAUAUCUAAUUGGGAUGAAAAAUCUAAUAGGUUUUGCAGUAAAGAUUCAUGGUGAGGGCACUCGAGUUUCCUGAACAUGGAUCUUUCUUGAAAUAUUCAUGUAACACUUUCAUUUGGGUAUAAUGCUACACUAAUGGAUAAAAAAUAUUCUGAUGGAAUUGGGCUUUAAUUGGGAGGUGCAUGAAUGUAAUUUUCUUGUUUGAAAAGAUAGCUGUCAGGUUGGAGAGUUUCUGCAAUCUUGGUCCAAAUUGUGACACAUCUGCUUCCAGCAAAAGAAAAUUGCAUCAAGAGACACAUUCACCUAUCUCCCAUAGUCAUGGGACUUCUUCAGUACAUGGCUAAGCCAAAUUAGCUUCCCAAGUUUGUUAUUUAUGCCCUGGGAAAGACACUUCUUGAGAGAAGUGGAGCUAAGAACAGAGACAAAACCUUUCUUACUGGUGACUGUAGAGCUCUGUUAUUGGCUCCCAUCAUGCACAUUUAUUUAUUUAGCUACACAGUUGGACAUUAGUCUGAUUGGAGGCACCAGCUUUCCUUGCUGCCCUCAGUACACCUGCUCUCCAACCUGGAGCAGCUCUGCUCACCCAUACAAUUGCCUCCCCAUACAUACUGAAGUACAGGUUACAAAGGUCUAGAGUUGUAUCCUAGCAAAUGUAUCUGCCUUUUUAAUUGCUCUUAAUGUUGUUGACAAGUUUGGCAUACAUAGUUCUGUUUAAUCUACACAGAACUCUUCAGAUAGGAAGUGAUCAUUUUUCCCAGUAGCAUUGUUGCUAGGACAUUUGGUGUUCUGUGCAGUGUUUGCUAGAAAGCUAUCUUUUUAAGUAAAGCUGAUCUUCGAGUUAAUUUCAUCAUAAUCCUUUCUUAAUUGGUUUUCCUUGUGGGUGGAUCUGAAUAACUUUAUUUGGAAACAAAGGAAAUUCACGUUACUGGAAAUGGUGUGUGAGCCACUUCAGUGAACACUUCAUUCAGAAACUAUAGAUGUAGCCAUUGUUGUGGUUCCUCACAGCCUAAUAAUUGUCCUACCAAUACAGAGAGUGGUGUGAGAGCCAUAAAGAGCUGACAUAACUGAUUUACCUGUUCUGUUCCCAUAUUUAAAUGUUCCCAUGAUUGUUUGAGAAAGCCACUUGGAAUUUUUUUAUAAGCUUCUGUGAUAAUGUAUGAAUUGAAUUUAGAACCUUAGAAAGUUGAGUGCUCAUGUUCAAUAUUCCUCUUCUAGGAUACUUCAUUACACCCCACCCCCACCUGUUUUCUCUCUCUCAUGCAAACACCCAAUGUGCAUUCAGUGCAUUCUGUGACUACUGACUAUAUUUGGUCCUCAUUAGAUUGGUUCUGGGUUUUUGGAUAUGGAGGAGGAAGAAAACUUCAUUUUUUCCUGAAACUUCAUGCACGUUUCUAAAUUAAAGACAUAUCAGAAGAGCUUAAACAGUACAGUAAUUCUGGAAGUACCUCCCUUGUUCAACUAUUCCUAUAACAAUAAUUUCGGUAGUAAUUUUGCUUUAAUUUCCUUUUUGUCUCAAACCUAUUAAAUAAUUCUAAAUUAUACUAAGACUCCAGGAUUGUUAAAAAAAUUGUAAUAAGCCUCAGAGAUUGUUUAACUUUUCUAUAUAAGUUCAGCUCAAAAAUUUUUAUGUAGUUUUCAUUAUUUCUUCUAUUACCUUAGAAGUGCAUAAUUGGAUUUUAUCUCUAAAAGAAAGACACAAUCACACUAACCUUUGAAAAAGGCCCCCAGUUCGUCCAUUAAGAAUUUCAAUUGCUUCACAAUGAAAAUACCUCCUGGUACCACCUAUUAAAGGUUGGUUUGACAAAGUGUGGGAAUUGCUUAUAAUCUUGUCUGUAAUCUAUGCAUGAGUGAUUUAUUUCUGGAAUUUUUACAGAUGAUUUCUUGGAAAAAUGGUUCCAGUUUAUGAUAAAUGUUGACUCUUAAAAUAGGUUGUAUGGAAGCCCUACUAGAGUUGAUCUUAUAUUCUUAUUGACUUAUUGAUACUAAAAGCUUUUUUAAAAAAUAGAAUUAAAAUGAUUGGGAGCUGACACAAUUUUAUAGCAUAUUUUACACUGUAAAUUACAUGAAUUUUCAAUGAAUUAAAUAUCUGGUCAGUGAAAGUGAAAACUGGUGGUUAUAUUUGCAGUGAGUCAUUGAGGGGUGUAUAAGGUGUUAGGGGAAGGGCAGUACCUAAGGUGGGGGGGGCGGACAUUGUGCUCAUUCUGGGAUAGUUUGUCCACCUUUGAUCCCCACCCUGCACUCAGCUAUCACCUGUGACUCCUAGAAGCUGUCAGCAUGUGACAGUAGCCACACCCCAGGAAAUGGCUUCGACUGGUCCACUGAAUCAGGUGAGGGUAGCUGAUGGGUCAUAAACCCUUGGUGAGUUAGGGAAUUACACUGCAUGCAAAGGCAGGCUCUGGCAGAAUGAGUGGAUGAGACCAAUAGAGAAUCCAAUGGUCAAAAAGGCAGUUUCUGCACGUAAUAUGUAAAGAAGCGAGGGGCAGAUGGGGCCGUGAACAUAACAACAACAACAACAACAACAACAACAACAACAACAACAACAACAACACCCCAACUGACUGGGUUGCCCUAGCCACUCUAGGCAGCUUCCAGCAUAUAU